rnacentral:rRNA from 1 species
GACGAACGCUGGCGGCGUGCCUAAUACAUGCAAGUAGAACGCACAGUUUAUACCGUAGCUUGCUACACCAUAGACUGUGAGUUGCGAACGGGUGAGUAACGCGUAGGUAACCUGCCUGGUAGCGGGGGAUAACUAUUGGAAACGAUAGCUAAUACCGCAUAAUAUUGAUUAUUGCAUGAUAAUUGAUUGAAAGAUGCUAUUGCAUCACUACCAGAUGGACCUGCGUUGUAUUAGCUAGUAGGUGAGGUAACGGCUCACCUAGGCGACGAUACAUAGCCGACCUGAGAGGGUGGUCGGCCACCCUGGGACGGAGACACGGCCCAGACUCCUACGGGAGGGAGCAGUAGGGAAACUUCGGCAAUGGACGAAAGUCUGACCGAGCAACGCCGAGGGAGUGAAGAAGGUUUUCGGAUCGUAAAGCUCUGUUGUAAGGGAAGAACGGGUGUGAGAGUGGAAAGUUCACACUGUGACGGUAUCUUACCAGAAAGGGACGGCUAACUACGUG